UUUCGAAUCAUCCACAAUGGGCGAAAGCCUGAUGGUGCGACGCCGCGUGAGGGAUGAAGGUCCUCGGAUUGUAAACCUCUGUCACCAGGGAGCAAAAACUAGACUCAUACUCUAGCUUGAGUUAACCUGGAGAGGAAGUAGUGGCAAACUCCGUGCCAGCAGCCGCGGUAAUACGUAGGUGGCAAGCGUUGUCCGGAUUUAUUGGGUUUAAAGGGUGCGUAGGUGGCCCUGUAAGUCAGUGGUGAAAUAUCUCAGCUUAACUGAGAGGGUGCCAUUGAUACUGCAGGGCUUGAGUACAGAUGAGGUAGGCGGAAUUGACGGUGUAGCGGUGAAAUGCGUAGAUAUCGUGAGGAACACCAGAGGCGAAGGCGGUUACCUGGACAGUUACUGACGCUCAGGCACGAAAGCAUGGGGAGCAAAAGGGAUUAGAUACCCAAGUAGUCCCUGAGCGGGCUGGCAAGGCGCAU
rnacentral:rRNA from 1 species